rnacentral:lncRNA from 1 species
UUCUUUAAGCAACUUUUUUGGGUAAUAUAUUGACAAAGGUUUGAGGAUCAUUCUCUGGAUUUUCUGUAUUUUUUCCCUAAUAAUAACCUGUGAGUUUCCUGUAUGUUGUGCAUUUUUAUAUACUUUAUAGAUCUGUUGACUAUUACCAAAAAAUCAAUUAUAUGUUUUUCAAUGAGGAGGAAACCAGAGUAAUUUCAUUGAUGUGUCAUGUUAAAAAUGAAAAUGCUACCAGAUACAGAAGAGCAGAAAAUCAUCAUGAGAAAAAUGAAGUCUUAAGUUGUUCUGGGAAUCAUUCGCAAGGCAGAUUUGAGAGGGGAUUGAAUGGUGUUCUAAGAGGUACUAUUGAGGUGUGUAGACCAGUGAGACAAGAUGAGUGGCAGGCGGUUGAACUAAGUACAAAUUGUCUUGGACUUUUGUCUUUAAAAUAUUAUGUGAUAACCAUGGUAAUAUUUGUGAAUUAUAGCUUUCUAAUCUGUAAAAUAGGGUGAAGAUUUAUUUUCUAUUUUACCCAGUGAUGAGGAUUAUGAUAUUAGAAAUAGAGAUGAAGAAACAAUCUGAACACUAUCUAGAAAGAGGUGGCAUAAGAUGAUGCCUAUCAAUAAGAAAUCAAAGUAGAAGAUAUUUGAAAAUCACCCAUAGGCUAGUUGGGUGAGACCCGAAGGGGGUAGUUGGAAAAAGAAUUUGACCAUCAUAAGUAAAAAGAUAACAUUUGAAGACCUAGUUGAAAGUGUGGAGGUGGACUGUCAUAAAUGUGAUAAUUAUGUCUGUUUUCAGAUCCUUGACUCACAUUUUCCUAUUUAUAUCCAAAAAAAAUUGAAAUGAUGGAUGUGAAAGUGAUAUACUUCUUUUUACAAAUAAUAAAAUUAUAUUAGUAAUACCUAAUAUGUAACUGUUGGUCUAGUUUUAAGAAUGAUUUAAGGAUUAACUCUCAUAGACAAAAAGAUAUUUCUUCAUAAAAAUUUAUCUAACUCACUGUAUUGUUUUUAAGUCUCAAUUAUCACUGACCUUUUUAAAAAAUAUCACUGUCAUCUUAGGCUGAAAGCCAUCUAUUAACUGACAACAGAAUAGUCUUUUAAAAACAUGUUUGUUCAUGUCACUUCUUCAUUGACUCAUGAACCUUGACUGGAUAGUUCAGUAGGUGAUGCCACAUAAUAUUGGAAUUAAUGGCAC